UGGGGAAUAUUGCACAAUGGGGGAAACCCUGAUGCAGCGACGCCGCGUGAGCGAAGAAGGUUUUCGAAUCGUAAAGCUCUGUCCUAUGGGAAGAUAAUGACGGUACCAUAUGAGGAAGCCCCGGCUAACUACGUGCCAGCAGCCGCGGUAAUACGUAGGGGGCAAGCGUUGUCCGGAAUCACUGGGCGUAAAGGGUUCGCAGGCGGAAAUGCAAGUCAGUUGUGAAAGGCAGAGGCUCAACCUCUGUAAGCAAUUGAAACUGUAUUUCUUGAGAUGUGGAGAGGCAAGUGGAAUUCCUAGUGUAGCGGUGAAAUGCGUAGAUAUUAGGAAGAAUACCGGUGGCGAAGGCGACUUGCUGGACACAAACUGACGCUGAGGAACGAAAGCGUGGGUAGCAAACAGG
rnacentral:rRNA from 1 species